rnacentral:rRNA from 1 species
CCUACGGGUGGCAGCAGUGGGGAAUAUUGCACAAUGGGCGCAAGCCUGAUGCAGCCAUGCCGCGUGUGUGAAGAAGGCCUUCGGGUUGUAAAGCACUUUCAGCGGGGAGGAAGGCGUUAAGGUUAAUAACCUUGUCGAUUGACGUUACCCGCAGAAGAAGCACCGGCUAACUCCGUGCCAGCAGCCGCGGUAAUACGGAGGGUGCAAGCGUUAAUCGGAAUUACUGGGCGUAAAGCGCACGCAGGCGGUCUGUCAAGUCGGAUGUGAAAUCCCCGAGCUCAACCUGGGAACUGCAUUCGAAACUGGCAGGCCAGAGUCUUGUAGAGGGGGGUAGAAUUCCAGGUGUAGCGGUGAAAUGCGUAGAGAUCUGGAGGAAUACCAGUGGCGAAGGCGGCCCCCUGGACAAAGACUGACGCUCAGGUGCGAAAGCGUGGGGAGCAAACAGGAUUAGAUACCCGAGUAGUC